AGCUCAGCGGUUGAGCACUCACUUCACAAGCGAUAGGUCGGUGGUUCAAACCCACC
rnacentral:tRNA from 1 species